rnacentral:rRNA from 1 species
GACGAACGCUGGCGGCGUGCUUAACACAUGCAAGUCGAACGGAAAGGCCCUGCUUUUGUGGGGUGCUCGAGUGGCGAACGGGUGAGUAACACGUGAGUAACCUGCCCUUGACUUUGGGAUAACUUCAGGAAACUGGGUCUCAUACCGGAUAGGAGCUCCUGCUGCAUGGUGGGGGUUGGAAAGUUUCGGCGGUUGGGGAUGGACUCGCGGCGUAUCAGCUUGUUGGUGGGGUAGUGGCUUACCAAGGCUUUGACGGGUAGCCGGGCUGGGAGGGUGGCCGGACACAUUGGGACUGGGAUGCGGCCCAGACUCCUACGGGAGGCAGCAGUGGGGAAUAUUGCACAAUGGGCGGAAGCCUGAUGCAGCAACGCCGCGUGCGGGAUGACGGCCUUGGGGUUGUAAACCGCUGUCGCCUGUGACGAAGCGUGAGUGACGGUAAUGGGUAAAGAAGCACCGGCUAACUACGUG